AGUCAGAAAUCUGAGCGGCUCCAUCCCGUCCCUGCUGGAUAAAAUAGAAGAGAUCAAUUCUGAGAUUAGCGUCGGGAACAACGUGACUGAUAAUAUUAAUAAGAUAAAGGAGCUGAUCGAGCAAGCGCGAGAUGCUGCUAACAGAAUUGUUGUGCCUAUGAAAUUCACGGGUAAAGGGCAUGUAGAGCUGCGUCCGCCGCGAGACUUGGACGACCUGCGGGCGUACACCGCUCUCACCCUGUCCCUCCAGAGACCCGAGCAACCCCCCAAUCGGCUCGAUGAGAGUGGCCGGCGGCGGCGCCAGACAAAUGAUGACAGUCUGUUCGUGAUGUACCUCGGAAACAAGGACGCAUCCGGAGACUACAUCGG